rnacentral:rRNA from 1 species
GACGUAGGGGGCGAGCGUUGUCCGGAGUUACUGGGCGUAAAGGGCGCGUAGGCGGCCUGCUAAGUCGAACGUGAAAUCCCUGGGCUCAACCCAGGAACUGCGUCCGAUACUGGUUGGCUUGAAUCCGGGAGAGGGAUGUGGAAUUCCAGGUGUAGCGGUGAAAUGCGUAGAUAUCUGGAGGAACACCGGUGGCGAAGGCGACAUCCUGGACCGGUAUUGACGCUGAGGCGCGAAAGCCAGGGGAGCAAACAGG